rnacentral:rRNA from 1 species
GUAAGGAAUAUUGCUCAAUGGGAGAAAUCCUGAAGCAGCAACGCCGCGUGGAGGAUGAAGGGUCUAUGACUUGUAAACUCCUGUAAAGAAGGAAAAAAUUCCCAUUAGAUGGGAGAUGAUGGUACUUCUAGAGUAAGCCCCGGCUAACUACGUGCCAGCAGCCGCGGUAAUACGUAGGGGGCAAGCGUUGUCCGGAUUUACUGGGUGUAAAGGGUGCUCAGGCGGAUUUGUAAGUCAGAGGUGAAAUCUUACAGCUUAACUGUGAAACUGCCUUUGAUACUGCAAGCCUAGAGUAUGGAAGAGAGUGAUGGAAUAUCAGGUGUAGCAGUGAAAUGCGUAGAUAUCAGAUAGAACACCAAUGGCGAAGGCAGUCACUUGGUCCAUUACUGACGCUAAAGCACGAAAGCGUGGGUAGCAAACA